rnacentral:rRNA from 1 species
AUGUCUCCAAUAAAUUUUGGUGUCACUACCCUGAUCCCCAAAAUAGUUGGGACGGACAUUGGACACUUCAGACCUAUCACGGUGAUCAACGUACUUGAACGCAUCUUCUCAAAAGUCUACGCGAGACGACUAGCCCCUAUAGCGGAGCGGCUGGAUCACCCCCUCCAAACAACAUUUCUGAAGGGACGGCAGAUCCAUGACAGGAUCCUGGCCCUUCAUGAGAUUAUCCAUGAGGUUAGGACACAUGGACAUAAGGGCGUUUUCCUCAAGUUGGACUUCCAGAAGUCCUAUGAUCAUAUGGACUGGUCCUUCUUGUUGUUAGUCCUUUAG